CCCCGAAUAGCUCAGUUGGUAGAGCGCUUGACUGUAGAAGUAUAACAUUUAUCGAGCGGUCACUGGUUCGACUCCGGUUUCGGGGA